CACACAAACCAACAUGCAAACUUAGAUCCAAGUUCACUAAUCAUAAAGACAAAACAAACGUAACCGAAAAACAUAACGCCAUUUACAUGUUUACUUGCAAAAACUGCCCCGACAAGUACAUUGGACAAACGUCUAAGAAAAUUCAGACCAGAUUAACCGAACAUCAAAACGCCAUUAACAGACACGACCAUAAUUCACUCCCAGCCAUGCACGCAGACGAUAACGGACACAAAUUUGACUGGUCUCAAACGAGAUGCCUAGGACAAGCUACUACAAAACAUACCCGUGAGUUUAAAGAAGCGUGGCAUAGUAUAGAUAAACUAACAUUUAACCGCCAUAUUGACAUUCCUGUAAUAUACUUACAACUAAAACACUCACACAAAAGUCC
rnacentral:lncRNA from 1 species